UACGUAGGGGGCAAGCGUUUGUCCGGAAUCAUUGGGCGUAAAGCGCGUGUAGGCGGCCCGAUAAGUCCGCUGUGAAAGUCCAGGGCUCAACCCUGGAAUGCCGGUGGAUACUGUCGGGCUCGAGUCCGGAAGAGGAGAAUGGAAUUCCUGGUGUAGCGGUGAAAUGCGCAGAUAUCAGGAAGAACACCCGUGGCGAAGGCGGUUCUCUGGGACGGUACUGACGCUGAGACGCGAAAGCGUGGGGAGCGAACAGG
rnacentral:rRNA from 1 species